rnacentral:rRNA from 1 species
GACGAACCGUGCGAACGUUGUUCGGAAUCACUGGGCUUAAAGGGCGCGUAGGCGGGUGACCAAGUCCGGGGUGAAAGCGCCCGGCUUAACCGGGCAAGGGCCUCGGAUACUGGUCACCUCGAGGGAGGUAGGGGCAUGUGGAACUUCCGGUGGAGCGGUGAAAUGCGUUGAUAUCGGAAGGAACGCCGGUGGCGAAGGCGGGUCUCUGGGCCGAUACUGACGCUGAGGAGCGAAAGCGUGGGGAGCGAACAGG